CGUAUUAUUAAAUUAAUAGUACUCGUGUUCUCCAUAUUCUAUAGUAGUAAUUUUACGAGUCAGCUGUUUUUUUUUACGUUUUCGCAUCGCUAUUUUUACGAUGGAAUGUCACCUCGUACAGAAUAUUCACGGUUGGUUGGCAGGUAUUUGUAUUAUAAUUGAUGAGGUAAUGUGUUUACCUUAUUUGCUUACUUAUUUUCUUAAUGUAAUAACUUGUAUUUUAGCUGUAAUCAUCUAAAUACCAGCAGGGACACAGUUUAUUUACUAGAGAAGCCAUAUUUAUUUGUGUAUUGGCGGCCUAAUACACGAGAUUGCCUGUGAACAUAACAAGCGUUUUGAUUGGUCGAUCCAUUGCCCGGAAAAUUAUAAAUAGAAGGUUGACAAAACGAACUUUAGAAUUAUUCUCAUCGUCUGCAAGAGCAGUCACAUUUCUCGUAGCAAUAUAUAUAUUUAGUAAACCUAAAUCAGAAUGUCUGAACCAAAGUCAACCAAUAGUAUGGUACGCAGGUUUUAAUUGUUUUAAGAAAAAAAACCUUCUAGCACAUGGCUAUAGUUUGUUUUGCAAAAGUCAACCUUCGACCUACGGGAAAGUCCCGUCAACCAUCGUUCCACUUAAUCAACCUUCUAUCGAUGCAAUAAUAUGAAAGAGGUUUUCUGGAAACCUACUUUUGUUUUAGGAAAUAAGAUAUAUGGAUAUUUUAUUAUAAACCAACCCUUUUAAGUAUUUCAUACUUUUUGGAAAUAGACGGUUGAAAAGUUCAACCUUCUAUAAAAUCAACCUACGGAAACAGUCAACCCUAUAGAAAAUUGAGGUCAACCUACCUGACCUAUAUUAGACUAUAAAUAAAGAUGAUUACGGCAAAUUGUUUAUAAAUAUGAAUGUAUGUUUUUAUGAUCAAUUGUAAAUAUUUGAUUAUAUA
rnacentral:lncRNA from 1 species